UCCGGUUUGUCACCGGCAGUCCCAUUAGAGUGCUCAACUGAAUGUAGCAACUAAUGGCGAGGGUUCCUGGCAUGUCAAGGGUAGGUAAGGUUUUUCGCGUUGCAUCGAAUUAAUCCACAUAAUCCACCGCUUGUGCGGGUCCCCGUCAAUUCCUUUGAGUUUUAACCUUGCGGCCGUACUCCCCAGGCGGUCAACUUCACGCGUUAGCUUCGUUACCAAGGAAUUGCUUCCCCGACAACCAGUUGACAUAGUUUAGGGCGUGGACUAC
rnacentral:misc_RNA from 1 species